rnacentral:rRNA from 1 species
CACGCCGUAAACGAUGGAUGCCAGCCGUUGGGGAGCUUGCUCUUCAGUGGCGCAGCUAACGCUUUAAGCAUCCCGCCUGGGGAGUNCGCGCAGAACCUUACCAGCUUUUGACAUGCCCGGUAUGAUCGCCAGAGAUGGCUUUCUUCCCGCAAGGGGCCGGUGCACAGGUGC